rnacentral:rRNA from 1 species
CCUACGGGAGGCAGCAGUAGGGAAUCUUUCACAAUGGGCGAAAGCCUGAUGGAGCAACGCCGCGUGCAGGAUGAAGGCCUUCGGGUUGUAAACUGCUUUUAUAAGCGAGAAAUAUGAUGGUAACUUAUGAAUAAGCAUCGGCUAACUACGUGCCAGCAGCCGCGGUCAUACGUAUGAUCCGAGCAUUAUCCGGAGUGACUGGGUGUAAAGAGUUGCUUGGUGGGCAUAAUAAGUAGCUAGUAAAAUCUGGUGGCUCAACCAUUCAGACUAUUAGCUAAACUGUUAAGCUCGAGACCGUUAGGGGUAACUGGAAUUUUUAGUGUAGGAGUGAAAUCCGUAGAUAUUAGAAGGAACACCAAUAGCGUAGGCAGGUUGCUGGGACGGUUCUGACACUAAGGCACGAAAGCGUAGGGAGCAAACGGGAUUAGAUACCCUUGUAGUC